GCCUGGGAUGGUUCAGUGGAAGAAUGUUUGCCUAGAACAUGCAUGAGGCUCUGGGUUCCAUCCCCAGCACUGCA
rnacentral:tRNA from 1 species